rnacentral:antisense_RNA from 1 species
GAGAGAGAGAAAAAAAAAAAUGUUUCAGAGGAAGGAGCCCCUGCCUUCUGGUGAAGAGUAUUCAAGAUGAAGAUAAACUUUUCAACUUAAUAUCGAGACUUUGAUAGCAGAAGGCAUCUACUCUUGAAAGUCCAAAAAAUGUUGUUGCUAUAGGAACAGACUCGGUGAACAAGACAUGUGAGAAGAGAAGGUCAAAGACCCAGCUGCACUUCUGCUUCACUGCUGAACUUCUGCUUCUUCCUAUCAGGGAAUACACUGCUCCUCACAUUAGGGAUUUCCUAAAAUUGUUAGGUGUUUUGAACAGAACUGGCUAUACCAAUGAGGCUCAAACAAGAAUCAUAAAGUGCAUGGUGCUUCUCUCCCUCUCUGUUUUCUUUAAAAAGAAAACAUUCUUGACAAGAUGAAUACAAUAUUUUCAUUCUAGCAAAUUUCUGCUGUCAGAGGUUAUAUUUACAGGAUAGAGAGAUUUCUCAAACAUGACCUUUUCUCGUGUAAUACCAGAGUGAAAUUUUAGAGAAGUCUGUGUGUGUGUGUGUGUGUGUGUGUGUGUGUGUGUGUCUCGCAGGCUGAGAAGUGGGAUGGGAAGAAGGGAAUGUGGCUAGAAUCUUACCAUCUCAUUCUCUUCUCCUUCAUUGAGCAGAGCGUGCUGGCCCUUCUCAAAGUGUCCCAUGAAAAGGUUAUUCCACACCUCCUCCCUGACCUUGCCGGGCAGACGCUUCCAGGAUGAACUCCAACUCUCCGAGCCACCGCAGCUCCUCAGCUGACUAAAAGAGUUAAUGAUCC